rnacentral:rRNA from 1 species
AGGACGAACGCUGGCGGCGUGCUUAACACAUGCAAGUCGAACGGUAAGGCCUUUCGGGGUACACGAGUGGCGAACGGGUGAGUAACACGUGGGUGAUCUGCCCUGCACUUUGGGAUAAGCCUGGGAAACUGGGUCUAAUACCGAAUAUGACCAUGGGAUGCAUGUCUUGUGGUGGAAAGCUUUUGCGGUGUGGGAUGGGCCCGCGGCCUAUCAGCUUGUUGGUGGGGUGAUGGCCUACCAAGGCGACGACGGGUAGCCGGCCUGAGAGGGUGUCCGGCCACACUGGGACUGAGAUACGGCCCAGACUCCUACGGGAGGCAGCAGUGGGGAAUAUUGCACAAUGGGCGCAAGCCUGAUGCAGCGACGCCGCGUGAGGGACGACGGCCUUCGGGUUGUAAACCUCUUUCAGUAGGGACGAAGCGCAAGUGACGGUACCUACAGAAGAAGGACCGGCCAACUACGUGCCAGCAGCCGC